CUGGAAUCGCUAGUAAUCGCGGAUCAGAAUGCCGCGGUGAAUACGUUCCCGGGUCUUGUACACACCGCCCGUCACACCAUGGGAGUCGGUAACGCCCGAAGUCAGUGACCCAACCCUAAAGGAGGGAGCUGCCGAAGGCGGGACUGGUAACUGGGGUGAAGUCGUAACAAGGUACC
rnacentral:rRNA from 1 species